rnacentral:rRNA from 1 species
UACGAAGGGGGGCUAGCGUUGCUCGGAAUCACUGGGCGUAAAGCGCACGUAGGCGGAUCUUUUAAGUCAGGGGUGAAAUCCUGGAGCUCAACUCCAGAACUGCCUUUGAUACUGGGGAUCUCGAGUCCGGAAGAGGUAAGUGGAACUCCGAGUGUAGAGGUGAAAUUCGUAGAUAUUCGGAAGAACACCAGUGGCGAAGGCGGCUUACUGGUCCGGUACUGACGCUGAGGUGCGAAAGCGUGGGGAGCAAACAGG